GACGAACGCUGGCGGCGUGCUUAACACAUGCAAGUCGAACGGAAAGGCCCUGCUUUUGUGGGGUGCUCGAGUGGCGAACGGGUGAGUAACACGGGAGUAACCUGCCCUUGACUUUGGGAUAACUUCAGGAAACUGGGGCUAAUACCGGAUAGGAGCUCCUGCUGCAUGGUGGGGGUUGGAAAGUUUCGGCGGUUGGGGAUGGACUCGCGGCUUAUCAGCUUGUUGGUGGGGUAGUGGCUUACCAAGGCUUUGACGGGUAGCCGGCCUGAGAGGGUGACCGGCCACAUUGGGACUGAGAUACGGACCAGACUCCUACGGGAGGCAGCAGUGGGGAAUAUUGCACAAUGGGCGGAAGCCUGAUGCAGCAACGCCGCGUGCGGGAUGACGGCCUUCGGGUUGUAAACCGCUUUCGCCUGUGACGAAGCGUGAGUGACGGUAAUGGGUAAAGAAGCACCGGCUAACUACGUG
rnacentral:rRNA from 1 species